UACGUGGGAUGCGAGCGUUGUCCGGAAUUAUUGGGCGUAAAGCGCGCGCAGGCGGCCUCUUAAGUCUGAUGUGAAAGCCCCCGGCUCAACCGGGGAGGGCCAUUGGAAACUGGGAGGCUUGAGUAUAGGAGAGAAGAGUGGAAUUCCACGUGUAGCGGUGAAAUGCGUAGAGAUGUGGAGGAACACCAGUGGCGAAGGCCACUCUUUGGCCUAUAACUGACGCUGAGGUACGAAAGCAUGGGGAGCAAACAGG
rnacentral:misc_RNA from 1 species